rnacentral:rRNA from 1 species
CUUCUCUGGAUGAGUUGCGAACGGGUGAGUAACGCGUAGGUAACCUGCCUGGUAGCGGGGGAUAACUAUUGGAAACGAUAGCUAAUACCGCAUAAGAGUAGAUGUUGCAUGACAUUUACUUAAAAGGUGCAAUUGCAUCACUACCAGAUGGACCUGCGUUGUAUUAGCUAGUUGGUGGGGUAACGGCUCACCAAGGCGACGAUACAUAGCCGACCUGAGAGGGUGAUCGGCCACACUGGGACUGAGACACGGCCCAGACUCCUACGGGAGGCAGCAGUAGGGAAUCUUCGGCAAUGGACGGAAGUCUGACCGAGCAACGCCGCGUGAGUGAAGAAGGUUUUCGGAUCGUAAAGCUCUGUUGUAAGAGAAGAACGAGUGUGAGAGUGGAAAGUUCACACUGUGACGGUAUCUUACCAGAAAGGGACGGCUAACUACGUGCCAGCAGCCGCGGUAAUACGUAGGUCCCGAGCGUUGUCCGGAUUUAUUGGGCGUAAAGCGAGCGCAGGCGGUUAGAUAAGUCUGAAGUUAAAGGCUGUGGCUUAACCAUAGUACGCUUUGGAAACUGUUUAACUUGAGUGCAAGAGGGGAGAGUGGAAUUCCAUGUGUAGCGGUGAAAUGCGUAGAUAUAUGGAGGAACACCGGUGGCGAAAGCGGCUCUC